UACGGAGGGAGCUAGCGUUAUUCGGAAUUACUGGGCGUAAAGCGCACGUAGGCGGCUUUGUAAGUAAGAGGUGAAAGCCCGGAGCUCAACUCCGGAACUGCCUUUUAGACUGCAUCGCUUGAAUCCAGGAGAGGUGAGUGGAAUUCCGAGUGUAGAGGUGAAAUUCGUAGAUAUUCGGAAGAACACCAGUGGCGAAGGCGGCCUUCUGGACAGUGACUGACGCUGAGAUGCGAAAGCGUGGGGAGCAAACAGG
rnacentral:rRNA from 1 species